GCUGCCUCUCUGCUGCGCACAACACCCGCCUUGUCACCCGCCUUAUAUCCUCAUCCCUCCCCUACGUGGGGCUGCCGGGUGUAGGAGCGGCAGCCAGGGGGCUCACGCAGGACCAGGCAGAGAGCGCCCAGUUCUAGACUGGGACAGGGAAGGUGCGCAGUCUGAUCGGGCUUAGCUGUGCUGGCCCUGUGCCCCACUCCUGUUCAGUGACCGUGGGAGUCCCCGUGUCAGAACGCCAGGUCUGACUGUGUUGUCCGACAAGUGACGGCAGGCUCUGUCACGGGUGGCGCCCGAACAGGGACCUGAAUACGGGGGACCAUAGUGAAGGACACUGCGGAUCGUGAGCUCGGAUAAAUUAAGGGCAGUGAAUGCACUCGGGAGUAGCAAGAUGGGUAUUGGUAACAGCCAGCUGCUUUUUGUACAUAUGCUUAAAAAAAUGCUUCGGUCUCGUGGAGCAAAGGAUGCUGAAGGUGCCAGGUGGCUGCCUGAAAGAUUGGUCCGUUUUGCAGGAAAUUUUCCUGCCCCUUGGGAUGAUCCCGACAACUGUCCUGCUGAUAAAUCUAAUGGUGACGCUUAAUGAGAAGGUUUAUUGGACUUAUGUACCUGAUCCACCUGUUGUACAUCCAACGAGCUGAAAAAAUGGACAAGUAAUGGUAUGGGUGAACAAUACCAGGCUGUUGCAUGAGCCGGCGGCCCCUGACAAGAACAAGUUCCGAUUGUUCAACUAUACGGGAUCAGAAACUGGAACCCCCAUAUGUUUCUUCAAAAUCAACAGAACUGAUUGUAUAAGACUGAGCGCUUGCACCCUGACAGGAAGGCAGGUAGAUCAGUGCAAAGGCGGGAUCACUGGAGUCCAUCUACAUCUACCUGUGGGUAUGGAGACCACUGGUGUAGUGCCUCAGACUUUUAAUGCUCCAAUAAGACUAUUCCAUGGAAGAGAUGUGUGGCGGAUGCCUCCGUGAGAUAUAAUAUUACUGGACUUGAUACUUAUGUUUUGGACUGGUCUGAAAAUUCUUGUCAUCCCAAAAGAAAUGUCAUUGCAUGUGUCAUGUGCUCUUAUGUAUUGCUUGUAAGAAAUAUUAGUGUUCAGAAAAGUUAUGAUUAUUAUAGUGAAAUUUACUUCAAUUGUCAAAUAAGCAAUUGUGUCACCCGAACAGAAAAUCAGAUAAUGGUUUUGCGAAUGCGUUUUUAGAUUUGGAUCUUAUAGAUCUCCAAAAUGCAGAACCCCUAAAAUUUGAUGCAGCCCAGGCUGCACAGGAUUUUAUCGAACAAAUUAGAAAAGUUCUGCCAUCUACAUCUGCAUUUACGUGGUAACUCAUUUCCAUAGUAAUUAUUGGAGGAGGGCUGCCUCUUAGAUGCAUGAUCCUUCCGGUGCUACUGCAGAUGUUUGUGCAUUCUUUAAUGAGGAUGGCUGGAAGUAUUCAUGGUCUAUAAUUACAUGCUACAUCGCCUAAACCCAUGGUGUAAUUCCCUGCAGAGGCUGAUAGUCAAUGACGGUUAAGAGGAGUAUAGGAAAUCACCAACCUAAGACAAAGCAAGAACACUGUGAUGCUCUUGACUCCAUGACAGGUAAGGGAUUUCUUUAUAUUCCUCGCCUAAGACAGGCACAGUCUAUCUGCGUGAUCAAGGGACCUUGAUCAUAAUAUAUAAAACAGGGGGAGAUGUGGAGAGCAGUGUGUGGAGAGCGGUGUUAGCCAAAGAGGCUCCAUUUUGAAUCUUACCCUCCAUUGUAUAGAGCAAGGAGACUAUGUUAUGAGGAACCACGUUCUUGCCAAAUUAGAUUGCCCUGGAACGUGAUGAACGUUCUGUAACCCUGAGAAACAAGGAAGCCCAUGAGGGUGGGGAAUUCCCAAAGAACUAGCAAACAAGGAAGCAGGUGUCUCUGGAUAAGGGUCAUGAUUAACAACCAAACUCACCUGCUGUAUAAAAGAGAGGAGAAAAAUAAACUUGGGCGCUCGGUCUCUGGGAGCCCUCCUGACUCUAUCUCUUUGUCUUUCUUUUUCUUCAUCCUCACUCCCCCAUUCAGGUACUGUUCGACAAGUGACAGCGGGCUCUAUCACCUAUGCCAAUGUCUUCAAGAGUUCUACCUAACUUAUCUUCCAGCAAGUUUAGUGUUUCUGUCUUAAUAUUUACAUCUUUAAUCCACUUUGAUCUUACUUUAGUGCAUGGUGAUAGGUAUGGGUCUAGUUUUAAUCUCUGGCAGGUUGAAAUUCAGUUUUUCCAACAUCAUUUAUUAAAUAGGCUAUCUUUCCUCCAGUGAGGGUGGUUGGCUCCUUUGUCAAAGAUGAGGUGGCUGAGUAUGUCUGGAGUUGUUUCUGCAUCUUCUAAUCUAUUCCACUGAUCCUCAGGUCUGUUUCUUUGCCAGUACCAUGCUGUAUUUAUCACAGUAGCUUUGUAGUAUAGCUUCAAGUUGGGUAUUGUGAUACCCCCAGCCAUGUCUCUGUUGCCCAGAAUUGCUUUUGCUAUUUUAGGUCUCUUCUGGUUCCAAAUGAAUUUUUGGAUUGUUUUCUCUAGUUUUGUGAAGUAUAUUGUUGAAAUUUCAAUCAGCAUUGCAUUCAAUCUAUAUAGUAGUUUUGGAAGUAUGGCCAUUUUCACUGUGUUGGUUCUUCCUACCCAGGAACAAGGGAUGUCUUUCCAUUUUCUUAUAUCCUCCUCGAUCUCCUUUUUCAGGGUGCUGUAGUUUUCAAAGGUCUUUUGCUUCCUUUGUUAGAUUGAUUCCUAGAUAUUUCAUUAUUUUGGAUGCUAUUAUAAAAGGAAUUGUUUCCCUAAUUUCUCUCUCAGUGAGUCUGCUAUUUGUGUAUAAGAAGGCUUUUAUUAAAUUCUUUUAUUGGUACAUUGUAGGUAUACAACACAAUUACAUUUCUCUUUGGGAAUUGUACCUUUACAUAAUGCAUCUUGGUUCUUAUUUUUUCCCCAUUCCUAGCCCUCCCUUCAUGCCCUCCACCCUUCCCUAUUUACAAAGACUUUAUUUCCAUUUUUUCCAUUUCUCAUCAUUUUUCCUUUCCCUUCUUUCCUUUCCCCUGCCCCUCCCACUACCCCUACC
ensembl:lncRNA